GGUUGAUCCUGCCAGUAGUCAUAUGCUUGUCUCAAAGAUUAAGCCAUGCAAGUCUAAGUAUAAGCACCUUAUACUGUGAAACUGCGGAAAGCUCAUUAUAUCAGUUAUAGUUUAUUUGAUGGUACCCUUACUACAUGGAUAACCGUAGUAAUUCUAGAGCUAAUACAUGCCCGGAAACAGCGACUCCUCGGGGAAGCUGCGGACUUAUUAGAUUAAAAGCCAAUCCGGUUUCGGCCGGUCCUUGGUGAAUCAUAAUAAUUUCACGAAUCGCAUGGUCGCAAG
rnacentral:rRNA from 1 species